CAAUAGCGUGUAUUAAAGUUGUUGCAGUUAGAACGCUCGUAGUCGGAUUUCGGGGCGGGCCGACCGGUCUGCCGAUGGGUAUGCACUGGUCGGCGCGUCCUUCCUUCCGGAGACCGUCCCUACUCUUAACUGAGCGGGGGCGGGAGACGGGACUUUUACUUUGAAAAAAUCAGAGUGUUUCAAGCAGGCAGCUCGCUCUUGCAUGGAUUAGCAUGGGAUAAUGAAAUAGGACUUUGGUGCUAUUUUGUUGGUUUCGAACACCGAAGUAAUGAUGAGAAGGGACAGUCAGGGGCACUCGUAUUCCGCCGAGAGAGGUGAAAUUCUCAGACCAGCGGAAGACGAACCACUGCGAAAGCAUUUGCCAGGGAUGUUUUCACUG
rnacentral:rRNA from 1 species